UAGGGAAUCUUCCGCAAUGGACGCAAGUCUGACGGAGCAACGCCGCGUGAGUGAAGAAGGAUUUCGGUUCGUAAAACUCUGUUGUUAGAGAAGAACAGCGCAUAGAGUAACUGUUAUGCGUGUGACGGUAUCUAACCAGAAAGCCACGGCUAACUACGUGCCAGCAGCCGCGGUAAUACGUAGGUUGCAAGCGUUGACCGGAUUUAUUGGGCGUAAAGCGAGCGCAGGCGGUCAAUUAAGACUGAUGUGAAAGCCCCCGGCUCAACCGGGGAGAGUCAUUGGAAACUGGAUAGCUUGAGUGCAGAAGAGGAGGGUGGAAUUCCGUGUGUAGCAGUGAAAUGCGUAGAUAUAUGGAGGAACACCGGUGGCGAAGGCGACUCUCUGGUCUGUAACUGACGCUGAGGCACGAAAGCGUGGGUAGCAAACAGG
rnacentral:rRNA from 1 species